UAAAGUCUGUUCUUCUAGAAAACAUGUUUGCUAGGACAGAAGAGAGAAUUUAUUGAGCUUAAUCCAGGGGGAUUUUCCUGAACUAGAAUUCACAUGUAGGCCACAGUGGUACAUGAUAUAUAAUACCCCCUAGGGUUCACUGAUACAGUUUCAGUACUCAUGAUCCUUAAUUCUAAAGAGUAUUUUAAUCUUUACAGCAUUGUAAAAAUACCCAUGAGAUUCCUGAAUGUUUUUGAAGCUACAAUGGAUCUGAAUCGUGAAAUGGAACUCAAAGGUAUGAACAUCAUUUCACAGAAGUGCUGGGAAGUAUGAGUGAAGCACUGAAACAGCUUGCCCAAGAAACUGUGGAAUCUCCUUCUUAGAGGAUUUUCAAAAAUUGGUCUGGUAAGAUCCUGAGCAAACUGAUUAACUGCUGAGUUCCUCAUUUUGUGUUCAGAGGUUGGACUAGAUGACCUCCAGAGCUCCAGCGUCAGCUUUCCUAUGAUUCCCUUUGGUGCAGCAGAAGUGGAGUUUUAAAGCUGAGCUGACCACACACACAUUCACGAUGUCAGUGUUUAUAUGUUUGCUACUAUGUUGGAGCUCAGAGAGAAGCACAUCUUUGCAGUGCCCGUAUCUGCUACUCCUCAAGUUCUCUGCAGGAAUAUGUAAACACUGUAUGCCACUUUUGUUUUCCUUAGUAUGGACAAAAUCUGAGUGAGUUUUGAAUUUUGAGGAAUUAAUAAGUACGGAUAAGUUAAUGAUAAUCUUUUUCAGCCGGUACUUGUCUGUCUGCAGUUGUACAAUAUGAAUAAUUCUAAGUAUUGUCUCAUUUAAUUUGCCUGGAUGUGAUUUUGCAAGUAGAGUAUGUGCUGAAUACAGUGUCAUUUUGCCACCUUUAGACACGCAUUUUUUUCUGGAGAUAGAACUGCUGAGACACUAUCUGUUUAGUCAAAGAGUGACCCAUUAGUCAAGGACAGCACACGUCAUUAGAAAAGCCAGAUUUAGCCUGUAUUGAAAUCUCCAGUUGCCCAAUCUUCUGCUGUCUAAUACCAGCUCCCUGCUGCCUGUCUGUUCCAUAACCCAAAUCUGAAGGUGUUGAAAUGCUGCAUGCCACAGCUCAUGCCUAAGUGACGACUAACACUUAAAUGUGGGUGAAACCUGCUUUGGUUUGGAUUUAACUUGUACAGAACAUGCACGUAUCUAUCAUUUAAUUUAGAAACAAAUUAUUGAUGUAUUCACUUAAGAAACAAAAGUCAUGCCAUUCCACUACUGGCUUUGUCUUAUAAAAGAAAAGACUCAAAUCUAGAUUUCCCAAACAUUGUGGUAUCACCAAGCAGAGGAUUAUCAACGUUUGGGAUAGAUUCUCUGUAUGUAGAAGAUAAAUUGCACAAGAUUUAUCAGCCUGGGGAAAAAAAUAAAAAAAAUCAAGAAGGAUAUUUUGAGUCUACA
rnacentral:lncRNA from 1 species